UACGAAGGGGGCUAGCGUUGUUCGGAAUCACUGGACGUAAAGCGCACGUAGGCGGAUUGUUAAGUCGGGGGUGAAAUCCUGGAGCUCAACUCCAGAACUGCCUUCGAUACUGGAGAGCUCGAGUCCGGGAGAGGUGAGUGGAACUGCGAGUGUAGAGGUGAAAUUCGUAGAUAUUCGGAGGAACACCAGUGGCGAAGGCGGCUCACUGGUCCAUUACUGACGCUGAGGC
rnacentral:rRNA from 1 species